rnacentral:rRNA from 1 species
UACGUAGGUGACAAGCGUUGUCCGGAUUUACUGGGCGUAAAGAGCGCGCAGGCGGUCGAUCAAGUCGAGUGUGAAAGCCCCCGGCUCAACUGGGGAGGGUCAUUCGAUACUGAUCGACUCGAAGGCAGGAGAGGGUAGUGGAAUUCCCGGUGUAGUGGUGAAAUGCGUAGAUAUCGGGAGGAACACCAGUGGCGAAGGCGACUACCUGGCCUGUUCUGACGCUGAGGCGCGAAAGCUAGGGUAGCAAACGGG